rnacentral:rRNA from 1 species
GAUCCUGGCUCAGGAUGAACGCUGGCGGCGUGCUUAACACAUGCAAGUCGAGCGAAGCAAUUUAAGUGAAGUUUUCGGAUGGAUCUUAAAUUGACUGAGCGGCGGACGGGUGAGUAACGCGUGGAUAACCUGCCUCACACAGGGGGAUAACAGUUAGAAAUGACUGCUAAUACCGCAUAAGCGCACAGUACCGCAUGGUAUAGUGUGAAAAACUCCGGUGGUGUGAGAUGGAUCCG